rnacentral:rRNA from 1 species
GUGACCUCAAAUCAGGUAGG